GGUCAGGGCAGCAGGCAGCGUUGCUCCAGGUGUGCCGUCCCCUCCUGCAUGCAGCACUCAGAUCAGAGCUGUGCCCGGCUGCCGCUGUGGGCUCCGACCCUUUCUGUGCACGCAGAGCACUGCUGGUGGUGCCAUGGAAUCUCACUGCAAUUUUGGAACGGUUUCGAUGGCCAGGAGCAAGAAAGCAGUUAACGAGGUGAGGAGGUGAGAGCAGCAGUGAAUAAAGCAGCGGGCUGAGCGGAGCUGCAGGAAAAACACAGUGAAUCAUAACUGCAUUUCAUGCAAAGGUGCCUUAAGACGGGUAGUCCGGUGGUAACUGAUAGUGGAACUCCGGCUUCGUUGUGCUGCUAGUGCUCUGCUUGUGCAAAUGAGCACAGACCUAUUGAUUGUAGCUCUGCCGGGCACCCUAGUGGAGGAUCAGCUCCACGUCGUUUGGAGCUGCGUGCUGAAAUUUGCAUCUGUCUCAUCCCCUUUGCUCUUGCUCUCCUCUUGAUCCUCGUGGUGCUUUACUGAUUGCGAUGCGUCUGUGUUUGACUUGAGAGUUCCCCAGGGCCAAGGAUCUGCAGCCCGUUCUGAAGGUGUGCGUUGUAUUGGUGGGUGCCAGAACACUUGUAAGGACAUCUCUUUGUCCCAUCCCUGGAGGCAUUCAAGGCCAGGCUGGAUGUGGCUCUGGGCAGCCUGGGCUGGUGUUUGGCGACCCUGCACAUAGCAGGGGGUUGGAACGAGAAGACCAUUGUGGUCCUUUUCAACUCAGGCCAUUCUGUGAUUCUAUGGUUCUCUUUCUACUACAUGAACUAAGUGUGAAUGGAGAGGGAGGACUUGGAUAGCUCUGAGCCACCAGUGUGUGUGGUAAGGAGGAGUAAAGCGA
rnacentral:lncRNA from 1 species